GAUGAACGCUGGCGGCGUGCCUAAUACAUGCAAGUCGAGCGAAUGGAUUAAGAGCUUGCUCUUAUGAAGUUAGCGGCGGACGGGUGAGUAACACGUGGGUAACCUGCCCAUAAGACUGGGAUAACUCCGGGAAACCGGGGCUAAUACCGGAUAACAUUUUGAACCGCAUGGUUCGAAAUUGAAAGGCGGCUUCGGCUGUCACUUAUGGAUGGACCCGCGUCGCAUUAGCUAGUUGGUGAGGUAACGGCUCACCAAGGCAACGAUGCGUAGCCGACCGGAGAGGGUGAUCGGCCACACUGGGACGGAGACACGGCCCAGACUCCGACGGGAGGAAGCAGUAGGGAAUCUUCCGCAAUGGACGAAAGUCUGACGGAGCAACGCCGCGUGAGUGAUGAAGGCUUUCGGGUCGUAAAACUCUGUUGUUAGGGAAGAACAAGUGCUAGUUGAAUAAGCUGGCACCUUGACGGUACCUAACCAGAAAGCCACGGCUAACUACGUGCCAGCCGCCGCUGUAA
rnacentral:rRNA from 1 species